CCUACGGGAGGCAGCAGUGAGGAAUAUUGGUCAAUGGGCGGGAGCCUGAACCAGCCAAGCCGCGUGAGGGAAGAAGGUACCGCUUAUCGUAAACCUCUUUUGUCAGGGGACAAAGGCGGGGACUAGUCCCCGGAUGAGGGUACCUGAAGAAAAAGCAUCGGCUAACUCCGUUCCAGCAGCCGCGGUAAUACGGAGGAUGCGAGCGUUAUCCGGAUUUAUUGGGUUUAAAGGGUGCGCUGGCGGCCUGUGAAGUCAGCGGGAAAAGCCCGGGGCUCAACCCCGGCGAGCCGUUGAAACUGGCGGGCUGGAGUUGGAGAGAAGUACGCGGAAUGCGCGGUGUAGCGGUGAAAUGCUUAGAUAUCGCGCAGAACCCCGAUUGCGAAGGCAGCGUACCGGCUCCACACUGACGCUGAGGAACGAAAGCGUGGGUAUCGAACAGGAUUAGAUACCCUGGUAGUC
rnacentral:rRNA from 1 species